AUGUUCCAUGAGCAAAACCUUGGAAGGAUUCAAGACAAGCAUGCAUAUGAGGAUGAGGUUGCCAAGUUGAAGAAGGACUAUGAUCUGCUCUGCACUGAGUAUCAUAAAAUGGUUGAUGAUGUUAGCAAGAUGUUUGACUGGCAGGAUGGUGUUGGCAAGAUUGACUACCAAAAAGCAAUGGAUGCUGAGAAAUUUGAGAAGCAGAAGGAAGAGCUUGAGCUGGAGAUGAAGAUGGAGAAGCUAAGGCUAGCAAAAGAACAGAGAUGUAUCCUUCAGGCCCAGGCAGACAUAAUUCACAACACCAGGAAGGCAAUGAAAGAGAUAAAGGUGGACAGGGAUCUUCUUGCACAAGAGAAGACAGAGCUUGAGAAAGUAGUUGCUGAUCUGCUGAAUGCUGGCCAUGGGAGCAAGGAAAAGCUUGAGAAAAUCAAGGCCAUACUGGAGGCUUGA
rnacentral:rRNA from 1 species